UGGGGAAUAUUGCACAAUGGGCGAAAGCCUGAUGCAGCAACGCCGCGUGAGUGAUGACGGUCUUCGGAUUGUAAAGCUCUGUCUUUGGGGACGAUAAUGACGGUACCCAAGGAGGAAGCCACGGCUAACUACGUGCCAGCAGCCGCGGUAAUACGUAGGUGGCAAGCGUUGUCCGGAUUUACUGGGCGUAAAGGGUGCGUAGGCGGACCUUUAAGUGAGACGUGAAAUCCCCGAGCUUAACUUGGGGGCUGCAUUUCAAACUGGAGGUCUAGAGUGCAGGAGAGGAGAGUGGAAUUCCUAGUGUAGCGGUGAAAUGCGUAGAGAUUAGGAAGAACGCCAGUGGCGAGGGCGACUCUCUGGACUGUAACUGACGCUGAGGCACGAAAGCGUGGGGAGCAAACAG
rnacentral:rRNA from 1 species